rnacentral:rRNA from 1 species
AUUGAACGCUGGCGGCAGGCCUAACACAUGCAAGUCGAGCGAGCGGCGGACGGGUGAGUAAUGUAUGGGGACUGCCCGAUAGAGGGGGAUAACUACUGGAAACGGUAGCUAAUACCGCAUACUAUCGGCUAACACAUAUGGGAUUAGCUAGUAGGUGGGGUAAUGGCUCACCUAGGCGACGAUCCCUAGCUGGUCUGAGAGGAUGAUGAGCAACAUGGGACUUGGGAAACGGCCCGAUGCCUACGGAGGCAGCAGUGGGGAAUAUUGCACAAUGGGCGCAAGCCUGAUGCAGCCAUGCCGCGUGUAUGAAGAAGGCCCUAGGGUUGUAAAGUACUUUAAGUCGGGAGGCGGUACCGACAGAAGAAGCACCGGCUAACUCCGUGCCAGCAGCCGCGGUAAUUC